UCAAGUGAGAAUAAGCAGUCUCCAACAAGUAUCCUCCCCUUGGCUCUUCCUGAGGCCUCUAAAUCCAGGGAGGAGGAAAUGGUGUAGUUUGCUUUGCAUGUUUCUGUUGUAUUUCUGUGGCACUUGAUUGCCCUGGUGGUGUUUACCUCACAAAUGCUGCCUAAUUCAGGCCAGAGGGAAGGCAGAGCCAGUGAAAAGAGCUCCACGGGCUAGAAGAGGGUGGACCCAGGAAGAGAUGGCCUCCCCCUGUCCCUGACUCAACUGGAGCUCAGUUCACUCUGCUUUGAAGGAGUAGGAGGAGAACACUACUCACAAAAAGGAGGGCAAGAACCGGCUUGUUCACCAUUGUAUUCCUGCACCACAGCAUAAGCACUCAAUCAUUAUGGGUUAAAGGCUGAAAUUCAAAAAGAGAAAGGGAGAUGUUAGACACCUACUGACCAAGGAGGUGCCCUCCAUUCUGCUUAACCACCGCCCAGGCCAGUCAUUUCUCUCCCUGGAAGACUUUGAGUCAUGCACGCGCAAGGAAAAUGACAAGAGUAGCAAAGAGGAUUAUGAGCAGUGCAAUACAAAACAAGGCUGCAACAAAAGGGCCACAGAAACCUGGAAUCAUUUUGGAAAUCAGUAUACCAUCUUGAAACCAAAAAUGUCUCCAUAAAUAUGAAGGCAAUAGCAAUGCCGUCACUGAGUCUGCCAUGAAGUCAGAAUGCCAAAUGAAGACUAUAAAACUUGGAUUUGCUUGCAGAGUUUCCACUGAAAUUCGAAUUCUUGGUUAGUCACUUUUUUGGAGACAGAGAAAAAUGAUGUGUUCCAAAUCCAAUUAAAGAUUCUGUGUUCUAAUUUUCUUCUAUUGUGAGGAAUUCAGUAGAUGAAAGUACAGGAUCGUGCAAGAUUUAUAAGCCACAUAAGCCCACAUGUUGUCCAAAUGGACUUAGCCAAAACCUUGAGCAAGAAAUUGAAGGAAAGGGGAAGUCCAGUAGUAUGAACUUACUUGAUGAAUAGCAGUGCUAGAUUUACAGAUGGAUAAAAGAUGCUACAUUUGCCAAUGUUGCUUCGUGACUAUUCCAUUUUGCAGGAGUGAAGAAUGGAUGACUUUAUAUAAAUUUAGUGCUUCAGAAUUUUUCUAAUAUGUCACCAUGUUGAUGUUCAACUUAACAUUGCCAUGAUGUGAUCAGAUAUGACAUAACGUGAUAAAUAGCAGGAGUGUCUCACGAUGGAACAUGACACAACAUGGUGUGUCAAGUUUCUUUUGAACCUUUCUCGGGAUCCAAUAUCAGCCAAAAGGAGGUCAUUUUAAUUAUCAGAUGAUUAAUUAAUUAGAUAGUUAAUUGUCACAGGUAGAUUAAUCCAAAGACAAUGUGGUUCUGUACAUGCACGUUUGUAGACAGAGGAAAACGUGACUUUUUAAAACGUACCUAGCUAAAUUAAAAGACACUAAAGUUUAAGAACGUGACUCAUUGUUUAUUCAAAUAACAUUCACAAACGACUAGGAUGCCAGAUGUUGUGCCAGAUGUUGUGUGAAGCAUGUUCAGAAGUAGAAAAUCAUCCCUGCCCUCAAAGGGCUGAUGAUCGAGUUGAAAACAUAAAGCUUUCUUUAAAACAAUCUGGACAUCUAGAGAAUGUUCAAUAAUUUUUUUUAAGUUAAAAACUAAGGAACAGUUUUAAGGCAAUGAAUCUUUUUAAAUGAACUAUUUCCAGUACUUUGCCACUGUUUGCUUUUUAGGGAAAGCUGUCAUAUUCCAGGAACAAGGGUAACUGCAAAGUAAUUUUUUUUAAUCAUAGUAAUGAAAUCCCAGUUUCAGACAUUCUAUGAGUUAGAUGUAAACCAAAAAAAAUUAAAACCCCAUGAAAAACUUUAAUAAAUCAGUUUUUUAAAGUUAUUGUCUACUUUUUAUUUUUCUGCUAAAAGCAGAAAUCCAAGACAUGACAAAUACUUAGUUUUCCAAAAAGAGCUGGAAUCUUAUAACCUUUAUGUAAAAGGCUGCCAAUAUUGUAAGUUCCUUUAUACAUAUUUAGAAGGGA
rnacentral:lncRNA from 1 species